rnacentral:ncRNA from 1 species
CCUUGAGGACGACUUCGAGGACGACGUCUAGGACAACCUCGAGGACGACCUCA